rnacentral:lncRNA from 1 species
CCGGGUGAAACGAAUCACCAAUGGUUCAGGUAAAGUCAUNCCGGACCCAUCACCAGUUUGUGCAAAUACCUGUUCCUCCUCACUCUUGCAGCAUACCUGCAUCAGACCACGAUCUAACAAGUCUUGCAAAAAUUCUUCAAAUUCGACACACUCCUCAAUAGAAUGUUCAGCAUCUGGGUGGAGCGCGCAUGCCAUACUCCCAUCAUAACCGCCUUUCAAGAUACCCAUUUUAAACAACGUCUCCAAAAUAAACCUCCUGGAGCUCCUGACUUCCCUCACAUUUCUCACCAACUCAUGCUCUUUCACUUCGAUAGCAUUCGUCGAAGCACCUCCAUGCCCGGAUAAAGGAUUGGCCUCAAUACUAGGCUUAUCUUCUUGGAACUUUAACCACCCAGAAUCAAUUAGGGUCUGCACUUUAU